rnacentral:rRNA from 1 species
AAUGAACGCUGGCGGCAGGCCUACACAUGCAAGUCGAACGGGUCCUUCGGGACUAGUGGCGGACGGGUGAGUAACGCGUGGGAACGUGCCCCUUGGUACGGAAUAGCCCCGGGAAACUGGGAGUAAUACCGUAUGUGGUCGAGAGACGAAAGAUUUAUCGCCAAGGGAUCGGCCCGCGUUGGAUUAGGUAGUUGGUGGGGUAAUGGCCUACCAAGCCGACGAUCCAUAGCUGGUUUGAGAAGAUGAUCAGCCACACUGGGACUGAGACACGGCCCAGACUCCUACGGGAGGCAGCAGUGGGGAAUAUUGGACAAUGGGCGCAAGCCUGAUCCAGCCAUGCCGCGUGAGUGAUGAAGGCCUUAGGGUUGUAAAGCUCUUUUGUCCGGGACGAUAAUGACGGUACCGGAAGAAUAAGCCCCGGCUAACUUCGUGCCAGCAGCCGCCGUAA